UACGUAGGGCGCAAGCGUUGUCCGGAAUUAUUGGGCGUAAAGAGCUCGUAGGCGGCUUGUCACGUCGGGUGUGAAAACCCGGGGCUCAACCCCGGGCCUGCAGUCGAUACGGGCAAACUAGAGUGCGGUAGGGGAGACUGGAAUUCCUGGUGUAGCGGUGAAAUGCGCAGAUAUCAGGAGGAACACCGGUGGCGAAGGCGGGUCUCUGGGCCGUAACUGACGCUGAGGAGCGAAAGCGUGGGGAGCGAACAGG
rnacentral:rRNA from 1 species